UAAAAGGUGGCUGAGGUUUUAAGCGUUAGAUUGUAAAUCUAAAUACGAGAUUUUUCUCCCUUUUAA
rnacentral:tRNA from 1 species